UGUCACGGGGAAGAGCUCCCUGCUGUGUGCCUGCACCACCCCACUGCCUUCCUUCAGCACCUUUAGCUGCAUUUGUAUGCCAGUGCUUAACACAUUGCCUUAUUCAUACUAGCAUGCUCAUGACCAACACAUACACGUCAUAGAAGAAAAUAGUGGUGCUUCUUUCUGAUCUCUAGUGGAGAUCUCUUUGACUGCUGUAGUACUAAAGUGUACUUAAUGUUACUAAGUUUAAUGCCUGGCCAUUUUCCAUUUAUAUAUAUUUUUUAAGAGGCUAGAGUGCUUUUAGCCUUUUUUAAAAACUCCAUUUAUAUUACAUUUGUAACCAUGAUACUUUAAUCAGAAGCUUAGCCUUGAAAUUGUGAACUCUUGGAAAUGUUAUUAGUGAAGUUCGCAACUAAACUAAACCUGUAAAAUUAUGAUGAUUGUAUUCAAAAGAUUAAUGAAAAAUAAACAUUUCUGUCCCCCUGA
rnacentral:lncRNA from 1 species